rnacentral:rRNA from 1 species
AGAGUUUGAUCAUGGCUCAGGACGAACGCUGGCGGCGUGCCUAAUACAUGCAAGUCGAACGGGGUAUGUCUUGGUGGUAACACCUCGGCAUAUCUAGUGGCGAACGGGUGAGUAACACGUGAGAAACCUGCCCUGAAGACGGGGAUAACAGGAGGAAACUCCUGCUAAUACCCGAUAUCCCCAUCGGAUCGCAUGGUCUGGUGAGGAAAUGGAUUCCGCUUCAGGAGGGUCUCGCGGCCUAUCAGCUUGUUGGUGGGGUAACGGCCUACCAAGGCUUCGACGGGUAGCUGGUCUGAGAGGACGAUCAGCCACACUGGGACUGAGACACGGCCCAGACUCCUACGGGAGGCAGCAGUAAGGAAUAUUGCGCAAUGGGCGAAAGCCUGACGCAGCAACGCCGCGUGCGGGAUGAAGGCCCUCGGGUUGUAAACCGCUUUCAGUAGGGAAGAAAAUGACGGUACCUACAGAAGAAACCCCGGCUAACUCCGUGCCAGCAGCCGCGGUAAUACGGAGGGGGUUAGCGUUGUUCGGAAUUACUGGGCGUAAAGCGCGCGUAGGCGGACUUUUAAGUUAGAGGUGAAAUCCCAGGGCUCAACCCUGGAACUGCCUUUAAUACUGGGAGUCUUGAGUUCGAGAGAGGUGAGUGGAAUUCCGAGUGUAGAGGUGAAAUUCGUAGAUAUUCGGAGGAACACCAGUGGCGAAGGC